rnacentral:rRNA from 1 species
GAUGAACGCUGGCGGCGUGCCUAAUACAUGCAAGUCGAGCGAACGGACGAGUAGCUUGCUUUUCUGAUGUUAGCGGCGGACGGGUGAGUAACACGUGGAUAACCUACCUAUAAGACUGGGAUAACUUCGGGUAACCGGAGCUAAUACCGGAUAAUAUUUUGAACCGCAUGGUUCAAAAGUUAAAGACGGUCUUGCUGUCACUUAUCGAUGGAUCCGCGCUGCAUUAGCUAGUUGGUAAGGUAACGGCUUACCAAGGCAACGAUGCAUAGCCGACCUGAGAGGGUGAGCGGCCACGCUGGAACUGAGAGACGGUCCAGACUCCUACGAGAGGCCACAGUAGGGAAGGUUGCGCAAGGGGCGAAAACCGGACGGAGCAAGGCAGUGUGAGGGAUGAAGGUCUCCGGAGCGUAAAAGUCUGUUAGGAGGGAAGAACAUAUGUGUAAGGAACUGUGCACAUCUUGACGGUACCAAAUCAGAAAGCCACGGCUAACUACGUG